UGGAGUGGGAUGGAAGGGUAGUGACGGGCCACACCCACAGGCCCUCUGGUGGCACUGGGAAAGCCAGAGCCCGUGUGGCUUCCAUGCCCUGACGUCCCCUUUUAGCCCAGUCUCAGUGCCCUUUGGCAGAUCAGACGCCCCUCCCUGAGCUGACAGCCUGAAGGAUCCUUACCAGCAUCACUGGCCCAGAGAUGCCAGCCCCCUCUGGUGUGCCGAUGACUCCCUGGUGGCACCUGAGUGGGGCAGACGUCACACCAGCUCUGGGCCCACUUGUCCCAGGCUCCUGAGAACCACUUCCCAGCAGGGUGAGGACCCCAGAGCGACUGCCUUGUUCUGCAAGCCUGGAAGAGAGGGAUUUCAGGCCCUGGUCUGUGGGCAGCAUUGAGUGAUGACUUCUACACGUAACUACUUGUGCUCCCCCUUUGCAGCAUGCGGGAUCUUUAGUUGAGGCACGUGUUCUCUAACCAGGGAUCAAACCUUGGCCCCCUGAGUUGGGUGCGUGGAGUCGUAGCCAUUGGACUACCAGCUGGGAAGAACAGUCUGGGGGCAAAGGUGGACACGGGGAGAGUGUGGAUGUGUUUUGAAGAUCUGGAAGCCAACAGAAUUUCCUAACAGAUUGGAUUUGGGCUGCGGAGAGAAGAGGCAUAGUGGACAUGACUCCAGUGUUCCGGAAGGAUGGAGAUGUUAUUCCAGUUGGGGAGGCUGCAAGAGGAGCCUGCCUGGGGGUGAGGAUUAGGAACUGGUUUGGUUUGUGUUCCUUAGAGAUGCCCUGCAGUCACCCAGGUGGAGAGGACUGAUGCCACCUCCCCCAGGUUCCCGUGCAGCAUGUGUCACCUGUGCAGGUGAAAGAAGGAGGAAGGGGACCUCUCUGCUCAGGGAGGAGCUUUCGGAGACGUGAGGCACUGGAGGUGCAAGCUGUAAAGGAGGUUCCAGAAAGGAUCACAUACCUCGAGAGUUGGGGUAUGACCAGAUCCUGGGGUUUCCCAGCCUGAGAUCCGGGACCCUUCUGCAAGCUGGCCUGGGGGUCACGUGGGGAGGGAGGUCAGUAGGGGACUCCCCGAGGAUAGCUGGGAUGCUCACCUCGCUAGUACUUUCAAGGACACUUGUCAGCUGUGUCACCAGCUGUAAGCAAUUCAUUUUAGGUGGAAGCAGACAGGGCACAGAGUGAGAAAGGUACUCCUUCCAUCCUCUUCCUGCCCUGCCAUUACAUCAGGGAGAGUCUUGGGUGGGUGCUACGCCAUCUUUAACACCUCUCUGAUACUUGCUAAUCUCCCUUCUUAACCAAGGGAUGGGGUCUAAAGCUCAGGGCCUUUGCAGGCAACAGUGUUUGGCUAGAAUUUAGCAAUGUCGCUUUACGUUCUGUCUCUCCAGUCUACUGUGACCUUGUACGUAUGGCAAAUUAAACAGUGUUCGAAGUUUCUUUUAAAUACAUCUAAGUUGAAAAUGUGAAUGGGUCUAGCAAUGGACAUUCAAUAAAUAAAUGUGGCAGACAUCAUGGAGGUGAUGUGUAAAUACCCAGCAACUGGGAAACGU